rnacentral:lncRNA from 1 species
AUUAACAUGAGCCAGAAAUCUUCUUCUGAUGUUUUGGUGAAGAAUUCAAUUAAGAAAGUUGUGGGUCCUUUAAAAGAUGGACUCCAGUCCAUCAACAAUGUCUAUGAGGCUCUCAUUGGUGAAGAUGUAGAUUAUUUUAGUGGACAGUGUAGAAAUUACAGCUUCAUCAGAGAGCAGAUUGUUGGGGCUGAACAGAGUCUGCAGAUAUCAGAACAGGCAGCAAGUUCAGGGCUGAAGAGUCUGGAUGAAAACAUUGAGAUCCUCACACAAGACGAGGGAAGACUUGAACGAGAGAAGAGAUCUACACAACAGGACUUAGACAACCUGAAAACAGAGCAGGAGUCUAAUAAUAAACUACUGAAACAGUCUGAAGAUUCUGUGGAGGUGGCCAGAUCACAUCUCAGAUCAGCAAGAGACACACUUCAGAGACAGGAAGAGAGAAAAAGUAAUGCUGGGAUUGUGACGGGUGUGGGAGCAGGACUGCUCGUUAUACCAGUUGUUGGAUGGAUCGCUGGUGAGAACCACAUGACUCAUACUUUAACUUUUAUUAAUGUUUGGACAAUCUUACAAAAUCUUUUUUUUUCUCCUUACAGGUUCUGCCAUGGUGGUUGGUGGAGUCAUAGGACUGGUUGAAGCUUCAGAUGCUGUAAAAGUUGCUGAAGAAGAGGAGAGACGGUCUGAGUCUGAAGUGAACCGGUACAGAAGUAAAGUGUCUGAAUACAACUCCAAGAUUUCCCAGACUAAGAGCAAAAUCAGUCAGAAAAAUGACCAGAUAGAGCAGAUCCGUAAAAAGAUCCAGAAGGUAAAGGAGCAGAGAGUUGCUGUAGCUGAGUUUCAGAGCACUGUGAGAAAAGCCGUCCGCAUUCUGAGCAUUCUGAGUGGAAGCGUCGAUGUUGUUGAAUGUCAGACUCGCAGAUUCAUCCAUCUGGAGCCGGUGAUGAAGGUGAUGGAGAAUCUGAUGAAGGCAGCAGGAGAUAUUGGGCGGAGUCAGCUCCUCUCCGAUGAAGAUGUACCAAGACUCCUCGAUACGAUGAGGGAGAACAACAUAAAACUGGCAGCGAUCUGCAAUUCAUCCAACAAUCCUGAAGAUGAGCUUUACUACUGACACUAGGGGAGGCAAAUCCAACCAAAAAAUAAGAAUUAUAAUAUCUUAAACAUUUCUUUUAUCCACAUGUGUGAAAAUAUCAAUAAAAAUAAAGAUAAAGGUGAAUAAUU